CCGGGUAAUAAACAUUUUAUAUCUAACUCUAUUUUCCAGGAAUGAUUGUAGGGGCUAUGUGUGCCAUUACUGGAGUGCUAACCAUCUCCCUACCUGUGCCUGUCAUUGUUUCCAAU
rfam:Hymenolepis nana genome assembly, scaffold: HNAJ_contig0002837